rnacentral:rRNA from 1 species
CGGCCGCAAGGUUGAAACUCAAAGGAAUUGACGGGGACCGCACAAGCGGUGGAUGAUGUGGUUUAAUUCGAUGCAACGCGAAAAACCUUACCCACCUUUGACAUGUACGGAAUUUGCCAGAGAUGGCUUAGUGCUCGAAAGAGAGCCGUAACACAGGUGCUGCAUGGCUGUCGUCAGCUCGUGUCGUGAGAUGUUGGGUUAAGUCCCGCAACGAGCGCAACCCUUGUCAUUAGUUGCUACAUUCAGUUGGGCACUCUAAUGAGACUGCCGGUGACAAACCGGAGGAAGGUGGGGAUGACGUCAAGUCCUCAUGGCCCUUAUAGGUGGGGCUACACACGUCAUACAAUGGCUGGUACAAAGGGUUGCCAACCCGCGAGGGGGAGCUAAUCCCAUAAAACCAGUCGUAGUCCGGAUCGCAGUCUGCAACUCGACUGCGUGAAGUCGGAAUCGCUAGUAAUCGUGGAUCAGAAUGUCACGGUGAAUACGUUCCCGGGUCUUGUACACACCGCCCGUCACACCAUGGGAGCGGGUUCUGCCAGAAGUAGUUAGCUUAACCGCAAGGAGGGCGAUUACCACGGCAGGGUUCGUGACUGGGGUGAAGUCGUAACAAGAUA